rnacentral:lncRNA from 12 species
CCCCGCGGGGGAUGGGCCCCAGGGGUGCCUUGGGGCUUGGGGCCCGGCGGGGAGGGUGGCAGUCGGGGGCGGGAGGCCGCUCCCCCGGGCCGGGCCGCGCUGCUCGCGUUCUCACCUCUUCCGGGCUCCCCGAGCAGGUGCUAGGCCCAGAGGCCUUCAGUCUUGAACCCACAGAACACUUUUAUGUGAAACCCUGUGGCAGACAAACCAGUACUAUGACAAGAGCCAACAUGACUGAAGAGCCCAUAGGAGCAGAGAUUGGGCCCAAUUUCCUGCCCCAAAGGAGAUGUCUCCCAGAAGGAAGUAGAAGGCUCAAGCCAGGAGAAGACACAGGACUGAUUCAAGGCUGUGGGCGAACCCCAUAUUCCUUCAGAACACGGUUGGCCAGAAUCUCGGGCGUCCCUGUCGAACAUAUGGAGAGAAAAUCGCUCCUCUCGCUGCUAUACCAGUUCUUUAAAAUGUCUUCCCAGAAGAUAAUCCGUAGCCAUUAUGCAAAUGUGUGGACAAGGUAAGGUCCCGUUGGGAGGAACUGCUGCUGCCUCAGAGGGACAAAUGGCAGAAGCCGGCAUCCAUCCGGCGCUGUGGGUGCGGGGAGCAGGACUCCCCUGUGCUCUCAGGUGGAACCUCCCUCUCAUUUCUCACCCGCUGCAGGCGCUGCAGGGAGGCUGGACUCCUUCUGGAUUAUAUCUGCAAACCUUAGGAUGCUGUCCUUAUCUACCCUGUCCAAAAUGGAGCAACAGCACAUCCACACUCGGGCCUGCAGGAAAAGAGAAAUAGAAAACAAACCCAUUUCCUUUCAGGAACAUGACCUGGAAGUUUCACACAUCACUGCUGCUGAUAUUCUGUGAGCCAGAAUCUGCUUGCCCUAUAGCACCUCGCUGCCAGGAAGGCUGGCCAUGUGCCCAGCUGAACCUUCCAUCACUCUAGUACUGAGAAGGACAACUGAUACUCAGCCCCACUGUCCAACUAAUAUUCCUUCUUUCACUAAUAUCCCCAGUCCCUCUGCUGUCAUCAACACAGUGGUUUCAUGCCCUCCCUUUGAGCCUUUACUCAUGCUCUUCCCUAACAUGGAAGGUUCUACUUCUCCAUGCCCAUAUUGCCUUCACUGCCCCCUCAGGCCUCAUCUCUCCCUUCCUGACAACCGUAGCCCUCCGUGACUUCCCAAGGCAUUCCUUGACUUUAUGUUUUCAUUGUAUAUGAUGUUCCUGUAGCUAAGGCUUAAUUUCAGAAUUAAACAGUACAUUUCUUUUUUUUUAACAGAUUUUUUAUAAGAUUUUAUUUUUUAUUCAUGAGAGACAGAGAGAGAGAGAGGCAGAGGGAGAAGCAGGCUCCAUGCAGGGAGACCGACGUGGGACUUGAUCCCGGGUCUCCAGGAUCACGCCCUGGGCCGAAGGUGGUGCUAAACUGCUGAGCCACCCAGGCUGCCUUAAACAGUACAUUUCUUGAGAACAGAGUCCUUAUCAUAUGUUUUUCCUUUAUCAUAUAUAUUUUCCUCCGUGAUCUCUAGCUCAGUGCUGAGCACACAUAUGUAUUCAAUAAAGAUGCUCUGAAAUGAAUUACA